rnacentral:rRNA from 1 species
AGUGAACGCUGGCGGUAGGCCUAACACAUGCAAGUCGAACGGCAGCACAGUAAGAGCUUGCUCUUACGGGUGGCGAGUGGCGGACGGGUGAGGAAUACAUCGGAAUCUACUUUUUCGUGGGGGAUAACGUAGGGAAACUUACGCUAAUACCGCAUACGACCUACGGGUGAAAGCAGGGGAUCUUCGGACCUUGCGCGAUUGAAUGAGCCGAUGUCGGAUUAGCUAGUUGGCGGGGUAAAGGCCCACCAAGGCGACGAUCCGUAGCUGGUCUGAGAGGAUGAUCAGCCACACUGGAACUGAGACACGGUCCAGACUCCUACGGGAGGCAGCAGUGGGGAAUAUUGGGCAAUGGGCGCAAGCCUGAUCCAGCCAUACCGCGUGGGUGAAGAAGGCCUUCGGGUUGUAAAGCCCUUUUGUUGGGAAAGAAGAGCAGCAGGUUAAUACCCCGCUGUUCUGACGGUACCCAAAGAAUAAGCACCGGCUAACUUCGUG